GACGUAGGGGGCCAGCGUUGUUCGGAAUUACUGGGUGUAAAGGGCUCGUAGGCGGUGCGGCAAGUUGGGAGUGAAAUCUCUGGGCUUAACCCAGAGGCUGCUUCCAAAACUGCUGUGCUUGAGUGUGGGAGAGGCGCGUGGAAUUGCGGGUGUAGCGGUGAAAUGCGUAGAUAUCUGCAGGAACACCCGUGGCGAAAGCGGCGCGCUGGACCACUACUGACGCUGAGGAACGAAAGCUAGGGGAGCAAACAGG
rnacentral:rRNA from 1 species